rnacentral:rRNA from 1 species
CAGCAGCCGCGGGAAUACGGAGGGUGCAAGCGUUAUCCGGAUUUAUUGGGUUUAAAGGGUCCGUAGGCGGACUUAUAAGUCAGUGGUGAAAGCCUGUCGCUUAACGAUAGAACUGCCAUUGAUACUGUAAGUCUUGAGUAUAUUUGAGGUAGCUGGAAUAAGUAGUGUAGCGGUGAAAUGCAUAGAUAUUACUUAGAACACCAAUUGCGAAGGCAGGUUACCAAGAUAUAACUGACGCUGAGGGACGAAAGCGUGGGUAGCGAACAGGAUUAGAUACCCCGGUAGUCCCUGUCUCUUAUAC